rnacentral:ncRNA from 2 species
UCCAAACUUUAGGGGUGUCUGCGAGAAGCGGACUGAGAUUUUACCCUUUGAACCUGAUCUGGAUUAUACCAGCGUAGGGAAAAGUGAGAUGACUUUU